CCUACGGGAGGCAGCAGUGGGGAAUAUUGGACAAUGGGGGGAACCCUGAUCCAGCCAUGCCGCGUGUGUGAAGAAGGCCUUAUGGUUGUAAAGCACUUUAAGCGAGGAGGAGGCUACUUUAGAUAAUACCUAGAGAUAGUGGACGUUACUCGCAGAAUAAGCACCGGCUAACUCUGUGCCAGCAGCCGCAGUAAU
rnacentral:rRNA from 1 species